rnacentral:tRNA from 1 species
GGGGAUUUGGCUCAGUUGGUAGAGUGCUUGCCUUGCAUGCACAAGGCCCUGGGUUCAAUCCCCA